rnacentral:rRNA from 1 species
AAUAUUGGGCAAUGGGCGCAAGCCUGACCCAGCAACGCCGCGUGAGGGCAGAAGGCCUUCCGGUUGUACUCCCCUGUCCCAUGGGACGAAGAAGUGACGGUACCAAGGGAGGAAGCUCCGGCUCACUACGUGCCAGCAGCCGCGGUCAUUCGUCGGGAGCAAGCGCUGUCCGGAAUUACUGGGCGUAAAGGGUGCGUAGGCGGUGAGCCAAGUCAGAUGUGAAAUCCCCGGGCUUAACUCGGGUGUUGCAUUUGAAACUGGUUGACUUGAGUGCAGGAGAGGAAAGCGGAAUUCCUAGUGUAGAGGUGGAGUGCGUAGAUAUUAGGAGGGACACCAGUGGCGAAGGCGGCUUUCUGGACUGUAACUGACGCUGAGGCACGAAAGCGUGGGGAGCAAACA